CCCUGUCUUCGCCGGCGACUCCCCUUCAUCGUCCUCAUUCGGGCUCGGCUUCCUUAGGAGGAAGACGACAACUAGGACCUGAGGCACCUCCAUGUUGCCUUUUGAAGGUUUAAUUGCGGAAGAGAAAGGUCUUCGGAAAUUUGACAUGAGUGGAAGUGGACUUGCCAUGGAGAAUCCAAUAUGUGUUUGGGAGUCUUUAUUCAAGGGACAGUCGGAAUCCUGUUGGUGUACCACGUCGGCUAGCUUUCAUUACUGUGGAUCAUGAGGAAUACAGAAUGUGAGACCUCUGCAUUUUUUUCCACUUAAUGCACCCCAAGUUCAUACAUGCUAGGGAGGCUCUUUACACAAGG